rnacentral:rRNA from 1 species
AGCGUAUAUUAAAGUUGUUGCAGUUAAAAAGCUCGUAGUUGAAUUUCGGGAUCAAGUCGUCGGUCGUGCUCAGGUAUGUACUGGCGUCAUUGAUUUCUCCCUUCUGACGAACCAUGAUGUCAUUAAUUUGGUGUUAUGGGAAAUCAGGACUGUUACUUUGAAAAAAUUAGAGUGUUUAAAGCAGGCUCACGCUUGAAUACAUUAGCAUGGAAUAAUGAAAUAGGACGUUCGAUCCUAUUUUGUUGGUUUUAGGAUCAACGUAAUGAUUAAUAGGGAUAGUUGGGGGCAUCAGUAUUCAAUUGUCAGAGGUGAAAUUCUUGGAUUUAUUGAAGACUAACUACUGCGAAAGCAUUUGCCAAGGAUGUUUUCAUUAAUCAAGAACGAAAGUUAGGGGAUCGAAGACGAUCAGAUACCGUCGUAGUCUUAACCAUAAAC